rnacentral:rRNA from 1 species
AUGUUUCCAUUCAAGUUCAAGAGGAAGCAAUUUCCUGUAAGGCUUAGCUUUGCUAUGACGAUUAACAUGGCUCAAGGACAGACAAUUCCGAUCGUUGGUGUGUACCUACCUAAUCCGGUGUUCUCUCAUGGUCAACUCUAUGUCGCAUUGUCUCGAGCCACCGCGAAGAGAAACAUAAAGAUCCUCAUUGAGAAGGAGAAAGAGAAGGAGAAUGGCAAGAAGCAAAGCAGUAAAUCAAAGAAGCGAAAAAGACCUGCCUUGUCCUUACAGACCUCGAUGAAGAACAUCGUCUAUAAGGAAGUCCUUACAGGCUGA